GAUCCUGGCUCAGAAUCAACGCUGGCGGCGUGCCUAACACAUGCAAGUCGCACGAGAAAGGGUAGCAAUACCUGAGUACAGUGGCGCACGGGUGAGUAACACGUGAAAAUCUACCUCCGAGUGGGGAAUAACUUAGGGAAACCUGAGCUAAUACCGCAUAACACUUACGAGUCAAAGCAGCAAUGCGCUUGGAGAGGAGUUCGCGGCAGAUUAGUUAGUUGGCGGGGUAAUGGCCCACCAAGACGAUGAUCUGUAUCCGGCCUGAGAGGGCGCACGGACACACUGGAACUGAAACACGGUCCAGACUCCUACGGGAGGCAGCAGUGGGGAAUUUUGCGCAAUGGGGGAAACCCUGACGCAGCAACGCCGCGUGGAGGAUGAAAUCCCUUGGGAUGUAAACUCCUUUCGAUCGGGACGAUUAUGACGGUACCGGAAGAAGAAGCCCCGGCUAACUUCGUGCCAGCAGCCGCGGUAAUACGAGGGGGGCGAGCGUUGUUCGGAAUUAUUGGGCGUAAAGGGUGCGUAGGCGGUUUGAUAAGUCUGAUGUGAAAUCUAUGGGCUCAACCCAUAGCCUGCAUUAGAAACUGUCGGGCUUGAGUAUGGGAGAGGUGAGUGGAAUUUCCGGUGUAGCGGUGAAAUGCGUAGAUAUCGGAAGGAACACCUGUGGCGAAAGCGGCUCACUGGACCAUUACUGACGCUGAUGCACGAAAGCUAGGGGAGCAAACAGGAUUAGAUACCCUGGUAGUCCUAGCCCUAAACGAUGAUUGCUUGAUGUGGAGGGUACCUAAUCCUUCCGUGUCGUAGCUAACGCGAUAAGCAAUCCGCCUGGAGAGUACGGUCGCAAGACUGAAACUCAAAGGAAUUGACGGGGGCCCGCACCAGCGGUGGAGCAUGUGGUUU
rnacentral:rRNA from 1 species